rnacentral:rRNA from 1 species
UACCGGCAGCACGAGUGAUGGCCGAUGUUAUUGGGCCUAAAGCGUCCGUAGCUGGCCGAGCAAGUCUGUCGGGAAAUCCAGUGGCUCAACCUCUGGACUGCCGGCGGAAACUGUUCGGCUUGGGACCGGAAGAUCCGAGGGGUACGUCCGGGGUAGGAGUGAAAUCCCGUAAUCCUGGACGGACCACCGAUGGCGAAAGCACCUCGGAAGGACGGAUCCGACAGUGAGGGACGAAAGCUAGGGUCUCGAACCGG